AUGCAACUUCCUUCUCUUUUCAAGACCCGAUUUAACUCUAGCAUAAACCCAAUUGA
rnacentral:sRNA from 1 species